GAAGGUAUAGCUCAAGUGGUAGAGCACAUGCUCAACAUCCAUGAGGUCCUGGGUUUGAUCCCCAGUACCUCCU
rnacentral:tRNA from 1 species